GAUGAACGCUGGCGGCGUGCCUAAUACAUGCAAGUCGAGCGAACAGACGAGGAGCUUGCUCCUCUGAUGUUAGCGGCGGACGGGUGAGUAACACGUGGAUAACCUACCUAUAAGACUGGGAUAACUUCGGGAAACCGGAGCUAAUACCGGAUAACAUGUUGAACCGCAUGGUUCAACAGUGAAAGACGGUCUUGCUGUCACUUAUAGAUGGAUCCGCGCCGCAUUAGCUAGUUGGUAAGGUAACGGCUUACCAAGGCAGCGAUGCGUAGCCGACCUGAGAGGGUGAUCGGCCACACUGGAACUGAGACACGGUCCAGACUCCUACGGGAGGCAGCAGUAGGGAAUCUUCCGCAAUGGGCGAAAGCCUGACGGAGCAACGCCGCGUGAGUGAAGAAGGUCUUCGGAUCGUAAAACUCUGUUAUUAGGGAAGAACAAAUGUGUAAGUAACUAUGCACGUCUUGACGGUACCUAAUCAGAAAGCCACGGCUAACUACGUG
rnacentral:rRNA from 1 species